ensembl:ncRNA F46A8.12 ncRNA
AUGCUUAGGCUUAGGCUUAGGCUCCGGCUUGGGCUGAGGCUGAGGCUUAGGCUUAGGCUAAAGCCUUGACAUAGUCUCAGGCUUGGGCUUAGGCUA